AGGUGAGAGAUACGGAGGUAGAGCACUGAAUGUCCUAGGGGGUAUUGCACCUACCGAAGACUAUCAAACUCCGAAUGCCGUCAUCUUAUACUUGGGAGUCAGACUGUGGGUGAUAAGAUUCAUAGUCGAAAGGGCAACAGCCCAGAUCGUCAGCUAAGGUCCCUAAAUGUAAGUUAAGUGGUAAAGGAUGUGGGAUUGCACAGACAACCAGGAUGUUGGCUUAGAAGCAGCCACUCAUUCAAAGAGUGCGUAAUAGCUCACUGGUCGAGUGAUCC
rnacentral:rRNA from 1 species